GAUGAUGUGUCCGGGGGCCCGUUUCAGAAAGCAGGUUUAGUGAGAAGUCUGAGUUUGUUAACCUUGAGAUGAGGGGAAAUGUGUGUUUUCUGUUUCGGUAAGAGAGGUGACUUAACCUCAGAGUCGGUUACUAUGGUAUCUGAACCUGUGAACCUAACCUGGUCAAAGGCAGGUUUUCUUCAAUAAACCUAGAGUUUCUCUCAGUCUCCCGCCUCUGACACAGAGCUCUCUUUUCCUCAUUCAUUCAUUCAUUCAUUCAGUCUGUGUCAGGCCCAUUUUAGCACAGUGUUGUCAUCCUCAUGCAUAAAAGAAACAGGGUUGGUUUAUUAACCAUGUGAGGCAGAUCAGAAAACUGUUUUUUCUCUAACAUGGCAUGUCCUUUUGUCGACAAUCACGUUGAUGAAAGCGCUGUAUUACUUCGCAGGGAGUUAAACAUACGUCGGAAGAUGAUAAUGAGGCUGGACUAGAUGUAUUUUAAUUUCCACAUUACCUAUUUGAGAGUUAUCAUUUUUCUUCACAUCUAUCAGAUAUGUAGAUACCUUAUCCGUCCUCAUAUAACUAACGUCACCCAUCGUGGACAUACUUUUACGUCCCAGCAGAUUCUUUGUGUUGCAUUAUGUUUUUGGCAAAUACAGACAACCGGCAGAAAAGUGUGCCUCGCUAUGAAACGUUGUUUUAAACGUUUUUGUAGUGUUCCCUGGACACAAACCAAUAAGAGCCAU